GUCUGAACUGCUCUGCUUGUGCUUUCGCCCCAAGGGACUAGACGCGGAUGGAGAGGAGGAAGUGCUGCUGGUGAUGUUCACCUAUGACGUGACCAAAGAGGCCAUUCAGACCUUCCCUCUGAAGAAUGCACCGUUUCCCAGAGCCUUUUCGCACGUCAAAUUCCUCGUGAAGAACAACUGGGGAAACCCCGAGUACACCUGCAUUUACCGGGUGCAGGUGCACGGGCUGAUGGGGGGAUCAGGAAUCAGCUGAGCCCUGUCCUGCUCUGGGCCAGGCGGGAGUUCCCUCUCCUUGGCUGAGGAGAGCACGGCUGAGGGCAGCGCUGGGUUGGAGCGUUCCACAUUGGGUCAUGUCACGCCCCGUGUCCAGGAGGACACUGCUCCCCCGUGCCCCGUCUCAGUUCCCGGGUCAUGGCAGAUUCUCUGGUGCGGUCGGGUCGCUGCUGGGGACGGGCCUGGACCGGCCACCGCUCGGGGACCACCUUCACCUGUUCUGGACUUGUUGUUGUUACUGUUGGUUCUGUUAGUCAAUUUUUUUUAUUCAACCUGU